CUGGAGUACCAUCCUGUAGGUUUUAACUCCAACCCUGUUCCUGGAGUACCAUCCUGUAGGUUUUAACUCCAACCCUGUUCUUGGAGAUACCCUCCUGUAGGUUUUAACUCCAACCCUGUUCCUAGAGAGACACCCUCCUGUAGGUUUUAACUCCAACCCUGUUCCUGGAGUACCAUCCUGUAGGUUUUAACUCCAACCCUGUUCUUGGAGAUACCCUCCUGUAGGUUUUAACUCCAACCCUGUUCCUAGAGAGACACCCUCCUGUAGGUUUUAACUCCAACCCUGUUCCUGGAGUACCAUCCUGUAGGUUUUAACUCCAACCCUGUUCCUGAAGAGAUACCAUCCUGUAGGUUUUAACUCCAACCCUGUUCCUGGAGUACCAUCCUGUAGGUUUUAACUCCAACCCUGUUCCUGGAGUACCAUCCUGUAGGUUUUAACUCCAACCCUGUUCCUGGAGUACCAUCCUGUAGGUUUUAACUCCAACCCUGUUCCUGGAGUACCAUCCUGUAGGUUUUAACUCCAACCCUGUUCCUAGAGAGACACCCUCCUGUAGGUUUUAACUCCAACCCUGUUCUUGGAGUACCAUCCUGUAGGUUUUAACGCCAACCCUGUUCCUAGAGAGACACCCUCCUGUAGGUUUUAACUCCAACCCUGUUCCUAGAGAGACACCCUCCUGUAGGUUUUAACUCCAACCCUGUUCCUGGAGUACCAUCCUGUAGGUUUUAACUCCAACCCUGUUCUUGGAGAUACCCUCCUGUAGGUUUUAACUCCAACCCUGUUCCUAGAGAGACACCCUCCUGUAGGUUUUAACUCCAACCCUGUUCCUGGAGUACCAUCCUGUAGGUUUUAACUCCAACCCUGUUCCUGGAGUACCAUCCUGUAGGUUUUAACUCCAACCCUGUUCCUGGAGUACCAUCCUGUAGGUUUUAACUCCAACCCUGUUCCUGGAGUACCAUCCUGUAGGUUUUAACUCCAACCCUGUUCCUGAAGUACCAUCCUGUAGGUUUUAACUCCAACCCUGUUCCUAGAGAGACACCCUCCUGUAGGUUUUAACUCCAACCCUGUUCCUGGAGUACCAUCCUGUAGGUUUUAACUCCAACCCUGUUCCUAGAGAGACACCCUCCUGUAGGUUUUAACUCCAACCCUGUUCUUGGAGAUACCCUCCUGUAGGUUUUAACUCCAACCCUGUUCCUAGAGAGACACCCUCCUGUAGGUUUUAACUCCAACCCUGUUCCUGGAGUACCAUCCUGUAGGUUUUAACUCCAACCCUGUUCCUGGAGUACCCUCCUGUAGGUUUUAACUCCAACCCUGUUCCUAGAGAGACACCCUCCUGUAGGUUUUAACUCCAACCCUGUUCCUGGAGUACCAUCCUGUAGGUUUUAACUCCAACCCUGUUCCUGAAGAGAUACCAUCCUGUAGGUUUUAACUCCAACCCUGUUCCUGGAGUACCAUCCUGUAGGUUUUAACUCCAACCCUGUUCCUGGAGUACCAUCCUGUAGGUUUUAACUCCAACCCUGUU